rnacentral:rRNA from 1 species
AAUGAACGCUGGCGGCGUGCAUAACACAUGCAAGUCGAACGAGAAACUCCGGGCUUGCUCGGGGAAGUAAAGUGGCGCACGGGUGAGUAACGCGUGGGUAACCUACCCUUGAAUCUGGAAUAACUCGCCGAAAGGCGGACUAAUACCGGAUAUUGUUCCGGAGGCGCAUGUCUUCGGUAUGAAAGGUGACCUCUUCAUGAAAGUUGCCGUUUGGGGACGGGCUCGCGUACCAUUAGCUAGUUGGUAGGGUAAUGGCCUACCAAGGCGACGAUGGUUAGCUGGUCUGAGAGGAUGAUCAGCCACACUGGAACUGGAACACGGUCCAGACUCCUACGGGAGGCAG